rnacentral:rRNA from 1 species
AGAGUUUGAUCAUGGCUCAGAUUGAACUCUUAAGGCAUGCUUUACACAUGCAAGUCGAACGGUAACAGGCUUUUCGGAUGCUGACGAGUGGCGAACGGGUGAGUAAUGCAUCGGAACGUGCCCAGUCGUGGGGGAUAACGCAGCCAAAGCUGUGCUAAUACCGCAUACGAUCUAUGGAUGAAAGCGGGGGAUCGCAAGACCUCGCGCGAUUGGAGCGGCCGAUGUCAGAUUAGCUAGUUGGUGGGGUAAAGGCCCACCAAGGCGACGAUCUGUAGCUGGUCUGAGAGGACGACCAGCCACACUGGGACUGAGACACGGCCCAGACUCCUACGGGAGGCAGCAGUGGGGAAUUUUGGACAAUGGGCGCAAGCCUGAUCCUUUAUUGCCGCGUGCAGGAAGAAGGCCUUCGGGUUGUAAACUGCUUUUGUACGGAACGAAAAGGUCUGGGUUAAUACCCUGGGCUCAUGACGGUACCGUAAGAAUAAGCACCGGCUAACUACGUGCCAGCAGCCGCGGUAAUACGUAGGGUGCAAGCGUUAAUCGGAAUUACUGGGCGUAAAGCGUGCGCAGGCGGUUUUGUAAGACAGGCGUGAAAUCCCCGGGCUCAACCUGGGAAUGGCGCUUGUGACUGCAAAGCUGGAGUGCGGCUUAGGGGGAUGGAAUUCCGCGUGUACCCUGAAAUGCGUCGAUAUGCGGAGAA